rnacentral:rRNA from 1 species
GCGGCCGCUCUAGAACUAGUCCGAUCCCCCGGGCUGCAGCCCAAUGUGGAAUUCGCCCUUUACAGCCGCGCGCGGCGGGCGGGGCGGGGGCACGGGGGGCCUACGGGAGGCAGCAGUGGGGAAUAUUGCACAAUGGGCGCAAGCCUGAUGCAGCGACGCCGCGUGAGGGAUGGAGGCCUUCGGGUUGUA